GAAUAUGACCAAGUCACCGAGAACGUGCCCAACCUCAUCAGAUAUCAGAUGCUAAGCAGGGUUGAGCCGGGAUGGUGUUUGGAUGGGCGACCACCAUGGAUAACAGGUGGGCAGCA
rnacentral:rRNA from 1 species